UGGGGGAUAUUGCACAAUGGGCGAAAGCCUGAUGCAGCGACGCCGCGUGGGGGAUGAAGGCCUUCGGGUUGUAAACUUCGUUUGCUCUGAACAAGGCGCACCAUGGGGUGUGUUGAGUGUAGGGGUUGAUUAGCGCCGGCUAACUACGUGCCAGCAGCCGCGGUAAUACGUAGGGCGCGAGCGUUGUCCGGAAUUAUUGGGCGUAAAGGGCUUGUAGGUGGCUGGUUGCGUCUGUCGUGAAAGCUCAUGGCUUAACUGUGGGUUUGCGGUGGGUACGGGCUGGCUUGAGUGCAGUAGGGGAGGCUGGAAUUCCUGGUGUAGCGGUGGAAUGCGCAGAUAUCAGGAGGAAUACCGGUGGCGAAGGCGGGUCUCUGGGCUGUUACUGACACUGAGGAGCGAAAGCAUGGGGAGCGAACAGG
rnacentral:rRNA from 1 species